AAGUAUAGUGCGCGCCAUGUU
rnacentral:misc_RNA from 1 species